GGCCGCCAUGGCCGCGGGAUUGAAGAAGGCCUUCGGGUUGUAAAGCUCUUUCAGCCGGAACGAAACGGUCACGGCUAAUACCCGUGACUACUGACGGUACCGGAAGAAGAAGCACCGGCUAACUACGUGCCAGCAGCCGCGGUAAUACGUAGGGUGCAAGCGUUAAUCGGAAUUACUGGGCGUAAAGCGUGCGCAGGCGGUUUUGUAAGUCAGAUGUGAAAUCCCCGGGCUUAACCUGGGAACUGCGUUUGAAACUACAAGGCUAG
rnacentral:rRNA from 1 species